UACGUAGGUGGCGAGCGUUGUCCGGAAUUACUGGGUGUAAAGGGAGCGUAGGCGGGUCGGCAAGUCAGUGGUGAAAUACAUGGGCUUAACCCAUGAAUUGCCAUUGAAACUGCCGGUCUUGAGUGGAUCAGAGGCAAGCGGAAUUCCGAGUGUAGCGGUGAAAUGCGUAGAUAUUCGGAGGAACACCAGUGGCGAAGGCGGCUUGCUGGGGUCUAACUGACGCUGAGGCUCGAAAGUGUGGGGAGCAAACAGGAUUAGAUACCCU
rnacentral:rRNA from 1 species